CCCUUAGAUGUCCUGGGCCGCACGCGCGCUACACUGAGUGUCUGAGAUACGAGUCUGCCUGGUCCGGCAAGGUCUAGGUAAUCGCUAAAAGACACAUCAUGCUUGGGAUAGAUUAUUGCAAAUAUUAAUCUUGAACGAGGAAUUCCUAGUAAGCGCAAGUCAACAGCUUGCGUUGAUUACGUCCCUGCCCUUUGUACACACCACCCGUCGCUACUACUGAUUGGAUGUUUAAGCGAGGUUCUCGAACUGCUAGCGACUUAGCUUCGGUGAGGUCGCAGUGUGGGAAGUGAACCUAGCUUCGGUGUCUAGAGGAAGUAAAAGUCGUAACA
rnacentral:rRNA from 1 species